UUUAUGUUUACAUGAACUAUAGAAUGGAACUCAAUAAAAAGAGGUCAACCAGUUCAACUGAAAUCCAGCGUACCGAACUCCAAAGUUCAAUUCAUGUUCACCUACCAUUUGUGUCAAAAAAUGGAGUACAUACAGUCUGGUCAAUUCAGCUCAUGGUACAAGCACCUCGAGUUCCCUAAAAACCAGGAGGAGCCACCACUAACUGCAAUAACUUGUGAUUUCCUUGCUUAGAAAUAUCUUCAAUAUCUGAGCAUAGGAGAGGCCAUACAGAUAGACUUGUGUAUCCAGGCUUCUUCAGACGAUUGGUAAUGUCAGAGGUACUAAAUCUUCUGCAGAACAUUGUUGACUGGCUCUUGUAAGUAUUGCAGACAAAUCAAGAGGGCUUCCUCCGUUCGAAUUGUCCUGCUUCCUUGAUGUGGACAUGUAUUCAAAUAUAAAUCAAAUACCUCCUUAGCACUUUUCCCCUUUAAGUUAUUGUCUUCUUCUAUACACUCUUCCAACCCCGCCAGUCCACCAAAAGCAAUUAGCAGGUGCCUGAAUGAUGGGAGAAUCAAAUCUGAGGACUUCAUUACAAGGCCAUGCUCGGAGGUACCAAUCAAGUGAUCAUACCCUCCCUUGUAUGGGCAAUUCUUGAAUACAGAACUGAUAUUUGGAGCAUAUCGUACUUUAUAUCCCCAAUACAUCCCUGCAUCCUCCAUAGGUGUUGAAGAAGAGACAACCUGAUGUGGUAUGCCUGAGUCCAAGUUUCUCUCUGCUCCCAUGGAUACUGUUACCCUUAUUCCUGGGGCAAUGACUUGAUCAACUGCAACAGGCUUACUAAGCCCAACAUCGACAAGUGUUCCCCCAGAUGUUGAAUUUCGAUCCUUUAGUGUGACACCUUCUCGAUAGGGAGCCCAUUCAUGCUUCCGCAAAUGAUGUGGGGCAUCAAGUGGUGGCAACGAACCCACAUAUCUUAAGUUGUUGUGCAUGGGGAAAAGACUCUUCCGAAGAUAUUGAGGUGUCUCCAUAUAUUUCAAAAUCCUGAAAAGAAAUGCAGCACCACUUUCAUCAUCAUGUGACCCAUCCUCCAUCGUUGGAUCUGAACAGUCCACUGAACUACCUAUGUUGUCAAAUACAACAACCUCAUCUAUCCGAAAAAUGGUGGAAGCACGAGCAAUCUGGCCAGCCAACCGUGUUGCGAGUUCGAGUGACUGAGUGUUGUCAAUGAUAGAUCCCGCGAGUGCUAUGGAAACCGUGGGUUUUUCCUUUAACACACUUUCUUCCUUCACCUCUUUGGUUUUCUUCUUCUUUAUCUUCUUCGAAUCCCCAUUCACGAGAUGAAGAUCAUUUUGCUCAUUGAUGGUCUCUGUAUUCAGGAGUUCCGAUUCUGCUUCUCGUUCGGCUCUCUUCUUCUUCUUUAUCUUCUUCGAAUCCCCAUUCACGAGAUGAAGAUCAUUUUGCUCAUUGAUGGUCUCUGUAUUCAGGAGUUCCGAUUCUGCUUCUCGUUCGGCUCUC
rnacentral:misc_RNA from 1 species